UCACGCUAGCUCUCAAGUUUCCAGCCUGCUCCAAUACAGAGAUGUCACCACACACAAGCAGGACAGGAACACCACCACCAACGGCGUCACUGCCCUCUCUAUCACAUUUCAGAUUUCUCCAGACACACCGACUGCCUCUGCAAAGUGAAUCUUAAAUACAGUUUAAAAGAGUGAACUCAAAAAUGAGAUAAGGGCGGUCAAGGAGUCCGGCAGGGCUUUAUCUUCGGCAAGAACAUGGUAGGCGUCCCCCGCCACCCCAGCUUCUACUCCAACCUGGUACCCCGGGACGUCCGGGUUCGGCCUACCCCCUCCCCCCAAGACGCUUCA